rnacentral:rRNA from 1 species
GGAUGCGAUCAUACCAGCACUAAUGCACCGGAUCCCAUCAGAACUCCGAAGUUAAGCGUGCUUGGGCGAGAGUAGUACUAGGAUGGGUGACCCCCUGGGAAGUCCUCGUUGUUGCAUCCC